rnacentral:rRNA from 1 species
UACAGAGGCCUCGAGCGUUAGGCGGAAUCACUGGGCUUAAAGCGUGUGUAGGCGGAUUGGUAAGUACCUUGUGAAAUCCCACAGCUUAACUGUGGAACUGCUCGGGAUACUGCUGAUCUUGAGCCACUCAGGGGCUACCGGAACAAAUGGUGGAGCGGUGAAAUGCGUAGAUAUCAUUUGGAACGCCAAUGGUGAAAACAGGUAGCUGGGGGUGUGCUGACGCUGAGACACGAAAGCCAGGGGAGCAAACGGG